GGUCCUUCGUAAGAUGUCUUUUCCUAUUAUUCAAGACCUGAGUCCUCUGAAAGACACAUGCAAGUGUCUGAAGUAACAUACAGUGGAGUUCCACUCCAAGAACCAGAGACUGGAAGAUGUUGAGCCCUACAGAUUUCAGAGAGCUGGCUGGGGGGUGCUGAGGUAGCUAGAGGCCCUGGGCCCUCACCUCUAGUUGCAAACAGUCACCCAUGACUCACAUACUUCCUGGUUUUCCAGCACACGUUGCUUUACAAACAGAAUUCUUUCCAAGUACCAUGAAAAGGUUUGGAAGCAAGGGCCUGUCAGAAUGUAGAAAAUGGACUCACUUGGGCAGGUGAAUAGAGAUGUAGACUGCUGACCAUUCUUCAUUGGCAUUUUAGCAUGGCUGCUCGCUGUUUCUGGGAUGCAGACACAGACAACUACACUCAUGAUGUUUUCAUGAAUGACAGCUUAUUCUGUGUUGUGGCAGCAUUUGGCUGUUUCUACUACUGAAUCUUUGGAAAGUGACUGUGACUUCGAGGAAACCUUAACUUUUUUUUUCUUUAUUCUUUUUUUCGGAGCUGGCGACGGAACCCAGGACCUUGCGCUUGCUAGGCAAGCGCUCUACCACUGAGCUAAAUCCCCAACCCCAAACCUUAACUUUUUUAUAUUGUUAGAUUUCCUGACCAAAUAAAAAAGCUGGCACUUUGGUACCUAAAAUCUGUUAAGUUUUAUAUGUUUAAAUGGUUUGAUUUUAUUUUCCUAUCUGUGUCCUUUCUACAUUUGGAAAAAGUAGAGAAAAGGGAGGGGAAAAUUCAUUUUCAUAUUUCAGGUGACUAGAUACUUGGGUAUAUUUUUUAUUUAUUGUUCCUUAUAAGAUGUAAAAAAAAAUCAUAUAUAAAAUAAAUUGUGUGUCUUCACCCCUU
rnacentral:lncRNA from 1 species